CCUACGGGAGGCAGCAGUGGGGGAUAUUGCACAAUGGGGGAAACCCUGAUGCAGCGACGCCGCGUGUGGGAAGACGGUCCUCUGGAUUGUAAACCACUGUCCCCAGGGACGAAGAUGACGGUAUCUGGGGAGGAAGCUCCGGCAAACUACGUGCGAGCAGCCGCGGUAUUACGUAGGGAGCGAGCGUUGUCCGGAAUUACUGGGUGUAAAGGGAGCGUAGGCGGGGAUGCAAGUUGGGUGUAAAAACUACCGGCUCAACUGGUAGUCGCACUCAAAACUGCAGCUCUUGAGUGAAGUAGAGGCAGGCGGAAUUCCGAGUGUAGCGGUGAAAUGCGUAGAUAUUAGGAGGAACACCAGUGGCGAAGGCGGCCUGCUGGGCUUUUACUGACGCUGAGGCUCGAAAGUGUGGGGAGCAAACAGGAUUAGAUACCCGUGUAGUC
rnacentral:rRNA from 1 species